GGCUCCAUAGCUCAGUUGGUUAGAGCGCCAGUCUCGUAAACUGGAGGUCGCGAGUUCGGCUCUCGCUGGAGCCU
rnacentral:tRNA from 1 species